UACCCCCUCUGUGUUGCCCGCAGGGUCUGAACUUCUCUCUCAACCCCCUCCCUCUUUUAAUUGUGUUUCCUCCCAGCCUGGCUGGACCCCCAGACUUGCCUAAGUGCCUGGCCAGCCCUGGCCGUGCACAGCCCCACGGACCCUGCACGCUAAGGGCCUGCUGAUGGGCGAGCGAAGGAUGGUCCAGACCUAAGACCCGGCCGGUUCCGCUCUGCUCUGGGACAGCCACGAGGAUGCCCCCCUCCUGCCCCGCGGCGGCCGCUCUGCUCCUCCUGCUGGGCCGAUGCCUCCUGCCGUCCGCCCUCUCCUUCCCCAAGGACCUCGCGCCCCUCAGCACCGUGGACCUGCCACCCACCUCCCUGUACCCCUGCUUCCGGGGCCUUGCCAGAGACAAUGACACAGCCCAGCUGGGCCUGGAUUUUCAGAGGAUGCUGCGGCUCAACCCAACGCUCUUCAUCGC